AGAACGGGUCGUCGGUUCUCCCCUGCCGCCUAAACCAUACCGCCUCUCUCUUUCGUGGUGGAUGAUGUUAUGGGUUUAUUAAAGUCUGUCGGCUUCGUCCCCCUCUUCCUUAUGCAACGCAAGACAUAAAGGUUUCGUGGUGUUAUUUUUCCUAUACCGCCAUCAGCUAUGGACAUGCUCAAAUGCGAGAUUUAAUUGGCUUUGUUAAGACAGGACAAAAACUUCCUCACUCCCAAGCCAAAUCAUUGCGCGAAUUGAAUUGGCUUUGUUGUUGCACAUAAUCUGAACUCAAAGUAUGUUGUUGGUUUAUAUCAAUUUAAAUAGUUUUUCCUAAUGAUGGUUUGUGCUAAAGAUUAUCUUUCUAAAUUUAUCAAUGUUUUUGCUGUUUGAUCCGUUCAUUCUUUUGGGUGCUUUGUUGUUAUUUGCCCAGAUUUACAUAGAGCUAAUUACAGGUACCACAUACUCUAACAGUCUUCCAAAGGAAUGGAACUUAAUCCUAGGAUAUCUUCAACUUAACUCCAAAUAAAUUAUAUGGAAACACUGUAAAUUAUAUCUCAUUAAGCACUCAUUUUAUGCUAUUGGAUCUAUUUUUUUAAUGGCAUUUGGAACUAUAUCUGGAGUGGAAAAUAAGUUUCUUUCGUAAUUCUAUGGAUAACAAUAGAGGCCAUAACUCUUAAUAUUUCUAGUGUCUAGAUGACUAUUAUGAUAUGAUAUAUAAGCAAACAAAAGAGCAUUCAAAAUAAGAAGUUGGAAUAUAUUAUUCGUAAAAUGCUCUUAAAUGAAAUUAUCUAAUAAUAAUUAGUCUCUGCGCAAAUAAAUUACAGUGGUGAAUCUCAGCAGGAUCAGAAUUUUAAUUUUUGGAGAUACGUAAAUGAUAUAGAAUAUACAUGUUCUCCAGUUUAGUAAGACACUUGUGACACUUCCAUGCCUUAUUUCUCAUAGAUGUACUUUCCUUUACCUCAAGAGAAGAGUUGAGGGUCAUAAUUUUGGUUUCUAUAAGGCAUCAAUUUAGUAUAUCGAAGGUACUUCAAUCUUAUUGUGUGUAUACCAUCCAUCAUCAAAUAUUGCUGGAGCAUAUGCUUGGACUGGGCCAUGGGAACCAUAUACAAACCUGCAUAGUUGCUGAGAUAGGCAGGCUUGACCUGUGCCAUCAUAAUAUGAUGAGAAACUUCAGCUGGUGGAUCAAAUUUCAAAGUCUACAGGAAAAUCAUGCUUUAAAAGGGAUCAGCUAUAUAAGAAGCAAGAUGAAUAGGGUUCUAGAGACUGGAUUUUUCCCAUUUCACGGCUUAGAUGUUAAAUAUAAAAAAUCCCACAUAAGCUCACUUAUUCUUAAUCUGACAUUAUACUUGGUGAAAUUCAACAAUUUCUGCAUCUUGGGAUGGACGUUCAUGCCCAUGAACUAAAAUAUUUUAAGCUAAGAAAUAGAAGAAGGAUUUGCAUGAAACUAAACACUUCUGAUAUUUGUUUUCAAAUAAAAAUAGUAAUACAACUCAGUUAUAAAUUAAAACUCAUAAGAAAGUUAUGAAAAUAUAUGUAGAAAAACUCAAAUUAUAUUGAUAAAAAAUUGGCAUACAGAUAAGGGACGUAAAGGCUAGAGCAUUAAUGCAUUAUGUACAUAUUCAUGACUAUUUUUAAUUUUAAUAAAACUAAAUGCAAUACUAUCAACUCUAUUAAGAAAUAAUAUCAUCUCAACAACCGCGCAUCGCGCGGGUAUUAGUUUAGUAUUGUGUGUAAUGUGUAUUAUCUCUCUAUUUUGCAUACACUGAAUUAGAUUAAAUGUUGUAGCUGACUUAGGAAGUGUUGUACAUGUUUUGUUGUUCUUAGUUAUAAAAUUUGAUUUGGAACAGCUACUAUUGAUAUAUUGUUUUUAAGAUAACACAUAUGAAUUAUAUUUUAUUAUUUUUUGUAGUUAUUAUUGUUGUGUAGGAGUAGUAUUUUUAACAUCACAAUAAUGUAAAUUUGAGGAAAACAAUUGAUAAAAAAUGGCUUAAAUAUGUUUGUAGUCUCUGUAAUUUAAAGAAGAAUCUAAUAGGGUCCCUAAGAAAUAAAGCCUUAGCAAUUGGUCCCCAACAAAAGAAAUUUAUUUGCCAUAGGUCUAAUUCAUCAAUAUUGACCGAUUAACUACCCACGUGGCGAGCCUAGUUAGCUGAGGGUUGGUAGUUGGCACGUGGGCUUUUCACAUUAGUUUUAGUCUCUAUAAUUUUUUUAAAAAAAAACUCAUCUAGCUGUUAUGAUAGCUAGAUGUAGAUAAGCACGACCAUCGUUCAGGGAAGAGACUUGGAGAAAAAAAUCAGUAGAUCCGCUCGAUAGGGUUCAGGCUGAGGGGAUUGAACAUACUACCAGCUGGCAAACGUACGCGGGCGAAGUGAUAUGCGUAUGGACUCGUGAAACAGAGCAUUGAGUUGACGCAGAGAGAGCAACGGUUGCCGGAAAUCGCGGGGUUUCGACACUAGGUUCUGACUAUCCUACACCUAGGUCAGCAUUGCUCUGGCGUGAAACUGAGCCCAACAACGAAAUAGGCCCAACCAAUCUCCAUUUGAGUACAAAAAAAACGUUGUGCACUAAGUUAGUAGAUAUAUAAAUAUACUAAACGCAACGGGAUUUUGAAUCUUAAGUUAGUAGAUAUAUAAAUAUACUAGUUAUAAGUAAACACAAAUUUUCUCUCUCAAAUCUCGUUAGUAUAUAAUAUUGUGUACUAACUUAUUUUUUAGGGACCUAAAACAAUUGAGGGGCGUAAGGCCAUUGCCUAAAUUGUCUAAUAUCACACAAGAAGGUGGUGAAAGUAAUAAAGUGAAGAAAAAAAACUAAUAUUUGGUAACACCAAAUUUACAGUUUUUUGCGGUCCUAAGUUGCUAGUAAUAUUUGAGUAUAAUACAAUGAUUGAUGCAUUUCGUGGCACAUAAACAGUGCCAAUAAUUGCUAACCAUAUGUUGAGGAAAAUUUAAUAACAGGUCAAAAAAAUUGUAAAGUACUUCACAAUAAAUUAAGAUAGAGGAAGGUGCGAGAGAAAAGAAGUGAGAAUUGAGAUUAAAGAGAGAAAGAGAGAGUUAAACCAAAAUAGUUUGAAAUCUAUUGAAAAGCAGAAAUUAAACCAACUCUAACAGCUACUGAAUUCCAAGUACUAAGACAUAACAUGAAUUCAAAUAAAAAUGUAAUCAGUCAAUGGGGCAUGGUAUUGGGCAUGCCGGCAUGGUGUUGCGACACAUUGGGCAAGUAUCACUCCCUUUUAGCCAGGGAACAAGACAAUCUUGGUGAAACACAUGCUUGCAAGGUGUUGAUAAAACCUCCAUAGCACCAUCACUACCAAACUCUGUUAGACAAAUACUACAGCUUUCCAUGGAAGCACCUUCUUCUACGGGCACUUUCUUGAUGGAAUCAAAGUCAUGACAAAUAGUAAUAUUCAAAACAAAAUUGUACCAACUAAAGUGGGUGGUUUUA